UACAAUGACACUCUUCAGUGGCGGAUUUAGGCAUGGGUGCAGGGGUGUGCGCCGGCCCCUUUAUAAACUUUUUUUUUAAAUCAGCUGCAUCUUCCCUAAGAAUCCUACCACCAAACCUGCCUAAUACUCAGAGAUGCGAUUGGAGGUUGUAGUCAGAUGAUAUUUUUUUAUAACAAUCCUCCAACUGCAUCUCGGUUGUAAUUUAGGCGCCUUGGUGAGAGAGCUGUCAAGUAUGACUGAGUAAAAUCCUUUUGUCAGAAGGCAAACUAAAAUAAAAAUACCAAAAACGACCCUGAAACUGGUCUUCAAGUGUAAGGGAGUGAUCAGCAUUGAGUAAACCACCGAUACCAAAACUUGUUGAAGAACAAAAGGAAGGGUCAGAACAAAUUGAAAGGAUCAGCACAUGACUAGAUGUGAGCUUAAGAAUCACAAGAAGUGAACAGAUAAAGAAGACAGCAGAAGAAAGAUAAACUGAACAAAGAAGAAACAAGGCACCAAACUAGAGUAAAUCACAAGUGUUGCUAGAAGCAAAAUAAUCAUAUAAAACAGAGAACAGAAGCAGAACCAAAUAACACACUGUGUAAAAUUUGAGGAGUCACAGCCCACGCAGAAAACAGAAUAGACAAAGACUGCAGAGAAAUGAUGGACAGAAUGGGAAAAAGGGGAGAAGGAGAAGGAGAGACAGUACCUAGAAAGAAACAAGAACAAAUUCAGGAACAUUGGAGCUAAGAUCCCAUAGAGGAAAACAGUAGGUCAUAUGGUCACAUCUCCAAUAAGAAGUAAUAAAGGCAAAGCAAUGCACACCAAAGAAACAAUAAAAAGCUAGAAGACA